rnacentral:tRNA from 1 species
GACAUGUAUAAAUGCUUAUGUUACGGCCAUAAGAUGGACAGCUUAGAUUGUCAUAUGUUU